rnacentral:tRNA from 1 species
GGGCCCGUAGCUCAGCUGGUAGAGCGCUGCGUUCGCAAUGCAGAGGUCAGGGGUUCGACUCCCCUCGGGUCCACCA